rnacentral:rRNA from 1 species
UACGUAGGGGGCUAGCGUUGUCCGGAAUCAUUGGGCGUAAAGAGCGUGUAGGCGGUCCGGUAAGUCCGCUGUGAAAGUCGGGGGCUCAACCCUCGAAUGCCGGUGGAUACUGUCGGGCUAGAGUGCGGAAGAGGCGAGUGGAAUUCCUGGUGUAGCGGUGAAAUGCGCAGAUAUCAGGAGGAACACCUAUGGCGAAGGCAGGUCUCUGGGCCACUACUGACGCUGAGAAGCGAAAGCAUGGGGAGCGAACAGG